rnacentral:rRNA from 1 species
UUUCCGGUUGAUCCUGCCGGGAAGAUACCGCUAUCCGGGUUCGACUAAGACAUGCGAGUCGAGAGUCUUCGGGACUCGGCAAACUGCUCAGUAAUAUAUGAUUAACCUACCCUAUACUCAGGGAUAAUUGCGGGAAACUGCAGCUAAUACCUGAUAGGUAUUCCUUUCUGGAAUGAUGGAAUAUUCAAAGGUGACGGUAUAGGGUGGGAUCAUAUCUUAUCAGCCUGUUGGGGGUGUAACGGACCUCCAAAGCUAUAACGGGUACGGGCCAUGAGAGUGGAAGCCCGGAGAUGGAUUCUGAGACAUGAAUCCAGGCCCUACGGGACGCAGCAGUUACGAAAACUUCGCAAUGCUCUAGCGAGCGACGAGGGAACCUGGAGUGCUCAUGCUCUGCAUGAGCUUUUGUCCACUGCAAACAGGUGGAUGAAUAAGGGGUGGGUAAUACGAGUGCCAGCCGCCGCGGUAAUACUCGAGCCCCAAGUGGUAUCCACGAUUAAUGGGUCUAAAGCGUCCGUAGCCGGUUUAGUAAGUCCCUAGUGAAACCCUUUGGUAAACUGAAGGGCUUGCUGGGGAUACUACUGAACUUGGGACUGGGAGAGGGUAGACGUACUCCCGGGGGAGGGGUAAAAUCCUAUAAUCCUGGGGGGACGACCUGUGGCGAAGGCUUCUACCUAAAACGGGUUCGACGGUGAGGGACGAAACCUAGGGGAGCGAUCGGGAUUAGAUACCCCGGUAGUCCUAGGCGUAAACGAUGCCCGCUUGGUGUUGCAAACCUUUUGAGGGUUUGUAGUGCCGGAGCGUAGGUGUUAAGCGGGCCACCUGGGGAGUACGACCGCAAGGUUGAAACUUAAGGGAAUUGGCGGGGGAGCACACAAGGGGUGGAGGCUGCGGUUCAAUUGGAUUCAACGCCGGG